rnacentral:misc_RNA from 1 species
AACUUUUAACAAUGGAUCUCUAGGCUCUUGCAUCGAUGAAGAACGCAGCAAAAUGCGAAACGUGAUGUGAUUUGCAUGAAUCUGUGAGUCAUCGAAUCUUUGAACGCGAAUGGCACUGUUACGUAAGUAGCAGUAUGUCUGUUUGAGAAUCGCAAACACGAUCAACUCUAGUUAGAGUGGGGAUUGAGCUCAUGCGCUGUUUAUAGCAGCAUUUGGUUUGAAUGAAUCAAGUUGAUGGGUUCCCCAGCAAUGCUAAAUGUGUGCUAGCGAGACAGUCGUCCCGAUCUCACAUUAGUGGUUUUGUUGCAGAGCUCUAAUCACGGCUUGUUUAAAUUUCUAUCUAUUACGAUCUCAAAUCAGGCAAGAUUACCCGCUGAACUUAAGCAUAUCAAUAAGCGGAGGCU